CUCACCUCCACCAAACACGCAUCCACCCGCCAGCACUACUGCUGCGUGGCAAAAAUCCCUGGAUCAGCAUUGUCCAACUCCGACACGUCUCUCUCCCUAGCUUCAAUCUUCAGCCACCGCUUUAUAUAGGAUAUUUUCCUCAUCGUGUUCAACAGGUGCUUGGAAUCAGCCUCAGGUUUCUUCCUCCCAGUCCGUAGGAGCCACGUAGCUCUCUGCGUCUUCCAUGGUCACUUCUCCGGCGUUACUCCAGCUCGCCCCGACCCUUGCGCCUUAGUGUUUAUCCAUGCUCCAUGCCAUGGCUUCUCCUAGGUCGCUCUCUUCGCGGGCCGUGAUGCCCCUCUGCUCCUGCCUCGCCUAGCCGUGUGCGUGCUCUCUCCGCGUCGAGCACUCACUGCAGCUCGACACCGACCCCCUCCCACAUCUCCCCCACACCAUCGUCUUUCCCUAGUGGCGAGCUCGCCUAGUGAUGGUCGUCGUUGGUCCCUGCGUCCUUCCCCGGUCGUCUCACCUCCCUUCGACGCCCCUGUUUUUUUUCAGCUUCGGCGUCCAUCGCGUCCUGCUCCUUCCAUUCGUAUGCUCUGGUGAUCGUCCACCCCGGCGUCCAGCGCUGCCCUUGUCUCUUCGGGUUUUGUCUCCCCAACACCAGUCGGACGCUCCUUCCAUUCAUAUGCUCUGGUGGUCGUCCACCCCAGCGUCCAGUGCUGCUCUCGUCUCGUCGGGCUUUGUCUCCCCAACAUCAGUCGCUGCUUCAACUCAUGUUCGUGGAUGCCGUAUCUACGACUCCGACACUCCCUACACAUAAUCUGUGUUUUGUGUUCAUCGCCGAAUAAAAAUCCCUGGCGUUUUGGAGAAAGGAAGAUGAAGUCUGCUCUUCGAUCCCUAGGUGUUCAGUGUUAUGCGCGAACCAGAAAUCGUUGCCGAUAUCACGGUCUUCAAGUUGAGUUUAUUUUAUUGGUACGUUAAGUGAUCACGUGAUGUGGAGGACCAGAGCUGAGUCGACCACAAGAUGUUGUUAAGCGUGGGCUUCUUCGCAAGGUGAUGCUGAUGGACGAACCUAAGGAUGGAUGACCUGAUCAAGAACCAUGAUGAAGAUGAUCGUCAAGUGAACGUCGUCUAACAAACACUAACGUAGUGUUUAUUCCAGGCAAGCCCUGGUGCAUGCAACCCCUUCCUUGUGUUUUUAAAUAAUUUUUACACACUUUAAGUCUAGUGAUAUAUGCACUAGGUUUAUAGGAGUUGCUUGGAAACCAUUUGAUGCAUUGACU